AAGGGUGCCUGGGUUCAUUCCUGUCUCUGGUGCUGCCCCUGGAUGGAUUGUUUGGCUCCUGGAAGGACCCUCAGACAUAUUGUGACUGUUUCUGGCUGUACUUCUAGAUGAGCUUUGGACCCAUAUUGUAGCUCUGCUUCCAGCCUUGUCCUUGGCUCAUCUCCUCUGGCUCCUAUGUAAUCUCUGGACCUGGGUUGCUGGAAGCAGGACAUGGAACUGCUGAUGGAUGCUGUAAACCAGUACCUGGCUGUGCUCAGACCUGGUGGGACUCUUGCCUGCUGUGCUCCCAUCCAGCCUGACUUUGAACACUUCUAGGCUUGGAGCCUCCACAGCUUCUCUGACCAACCUGUCCCAAUGUCUGUUUCCAGCAAAGAAGAAACUCUGUGAGGCAAGUAGCAAAUUCUGAGACUGAGUAUGUGGGGAAGAA